rnacentral:rRNA from 1 species
UGCUACGGCACCGGCCUAGAGAUGAGCCCGCGUCCCAUUAGCUAAUUGGUGAGGUAACGGCCCACCAAGGCGAUGAUGGCUAUCCGGCCUGAUAGGGUGUUUGGCCUAAUCGUGACUGUAAUACGGCCCAGACUCCUACGGGAGGCAGCAGCUAAGAAUAUUCCGCAAUGGACGAAAGUCUGACGGAGCGACGCCGCGUGGAUGAAGAAGGCCGAAAGGUUGUAAAAUCCUUUUGCUGAGGAAGAAUAAGUGUGGGAGGGAAUGCCCGCAUGAUGACAUGAAUCGGCGAAUAAGCCCCGGCCAACUACGUGCCAGCAGCCGCGGUAACACGUAGGGGGCGAGCGUUGUUCGGAAUUACUGGGCGUAAAGGGCAUGUAGGCGGUUAUGUAAGCCUGGCGUGAAAGUCCACAGCUUAACUGUGGGAUUGCGUUGGGAACUAGAUGACUAGAGUUACGGAGAGGGAGCUAGAAUUCCUGGUGUAGGGGUGGAAUCUGUAGAGAUCAGGAAGAAUACCGAUGGCGAAGGCAAGCUCCUGGCCGAUGACUGACGCUGAGGUGCGAAAGUGUGGGGAUCAAACAGGAUUAGAUACCCUGGUAGUCCACACUGUAAACGAUGUGCACUAGGUGCUG